rnacentral:rRNA from 1 species
UGCAGUCGAGCGCUCUCUUCGGAGGGAGCGGCGGACGGGUGAGUAACGCGUGGGAAUAUGCCCUUCACUGCGGAAUAGCCUCGGGAAACUGAGAGUAAUACCGCAUACGCCCUUCGGGGGAAAGAUUUAUCGGUGAAGGAUUAGCCCGCGUCUGAUUAGGUAGUUGGUGGGGUAAUGGCCUACCAAGCCUACGAUCAGUAGCUGGUUUUAGAGGAUGAUCAGCCACACUGGGACUGAGACACGGCCCAGACUCCUACGGGAGGCAGCAGUGGGGAAUCUUAGACAAUGGGCGGAAGCCUGAUCUAGCCAUGCCGCGUGAGUGAUGAAGGCCUUAGGGUCGUAAAACUCUUUCGCCAGGGAUGAUAAUGACAGUACCUGGUAAAGAAGCCCCGGCUAACUCCGUGCCAGCAGCCGCGGUAAUACGGAGGGGGCUAGCGUUGUUCGGAAUUACUGGGCGUAAAGCGCGCGUAGGCGGACUAUUAAGUCAGGGGUGAAAUCCCGGGGCUCAACCCCGGAACUGCCUUUGAUACUGGUAGUCUUGAGUUCGAGAGAGGUGAGUGGAAUUCCGAGUGUAGAGGUGAAAUUCGUAGAUAUUCGGAGGAACACCAGUGGCGAAGGCGGCUC